GUUAAGAAAACAUUACUUAAUUAUUUAUCCUGAAACACUUAGGCACAGUUUGAUAAAUGAAAAAUUUCCCUAGAAAAUGGAAAAUCAAUUUGAACUUCAAUUUUAAGGGUGUUUGAUAGCCAAAAUUUUCCAUAGAACUCAUAUUCCAACUUUCUUGCCACAUAAGCCAAUUUCCAGCUUUUCCUUGAAUUGUAUAUGGUGAGAAUUCCAAUUUCCAGCUACUGCAGCGUGUCUUUUUUAUUUUUUUUUUAUUUUUAUUUUUUUGACAAUGGAAACAAAUUUUAAGAAUUAUUGUAAAAAAAUAUUUUCCUUUAAUUGACAAUUUCCAUGUAAAACAAAGUCAAACGAACGCUAAAAGACAGAUGAUUUUAUUUUAUUUUUUGGCAAUGGAAAUAAAUUUCAUCCCCAGUAACAAUAUAUUAAAUCCCUUUAAUUAACAAUUUUCAUAUAAAAUAAAAUCAAAAGAAUAUCAAAAAACACUUUUAUUUCAACAUUUUCCACAUGAAAAAUUAUACCAAUCAAACCCAAUAAUUUACAAUUUUCUGAAAAACAAUUUUUAAGCAAUUCAAUUUCCUGAAAUUCAUUUUCUUUUCACUCAAAUUCCAUCUUCGCAAUCAAACAAACCCUUACUAUAACCCUUAAAAAAAUUCAAAAGAAGCUGCUUCGUAUAUAAUUUCAAAUAUUAGUGCAUGUUUGGUAGCAUUUUUUCACCUCAAAAAAUCAAUUUUUUGGCCGUUAUUUCACUAUUCCAACCGUCAUUUUUGAUUUUUUCACUCACAGGUGAGACUCACUUUUAUCUCUAACGGUUAAAAAAUCAAUUCCCAUAAUCACUGCCGAACAAACCCUUAAUUUACAUGCAAUGUAUCUACGGUCAAUUAUAUGCAUAACAAUUCACACUACUAAUUUAGGCUAAUAAACCAGCAGAAAAUAAUGCAGACUGUACUACAAGUCUAUGCUGAUGAACAGAAUCUCCACAUUUCUAGAGCAUAUGGAAGUUACAAUUUAAAUUAACAGAAAGAGUUGAGCUUGAAAUACUCGACAGACAGAGUUACCUCCAAUUUCUCUAGCAGGUCAUGGAUCGUUGAAUUAGCCAAACUAUGAUACUUCUCUUCCGGCAGCAGAGAACUGAACAUGUAUUGAUAUAUUAGCUGCGUGUUAAAAUCUUUAGUGAUCAUCAAAUUUCCAAAAACCAACAAAAUUCGGAAAGAAAUCCCAAACUAAAAUUUAACCAAAAGAAAGGACAAUAACAAGUAUAAAAU
rnacentral:lncRNA from 1 species